rnacentral:rRNA from 1 species
CGUGUCAGCCGCCGCGGUAAUACGGAGGGUGCAAGCGUUAUCCGGGUUCAUUGGGUUUAAAGGGUGCGCAGGCGGAUUAUUAAGUUAGUGGUGAAAUCCCGGGGCUCAACCUCGGAACUGCCAUUAAUACUGGUAAUCUGGAAUACGGUUGAAGUGGGCGGAAUGUAGCAUGUAGCGGUGAAAUGCAUAGAGAUGCUACAGAACACCGAUCGCGAAGGCAGCUCACUAAGCCGAUAUUGACGCUCAGGCACGAAAGCGUGGGGAGCGAACAGGAUUAGAUACCCUGGUAGUCCACGCCGUAAACGAUGAUAACUCGUUGUUGGCGACACACAGUCAGCGACUAAGCGAAAGCGAUAAGUUAUCCACCUGGGGAGUACGAUCGCAAGGUUGAAACUUAAGGAAUUGGCGG